rnacentral:rRNA from 1 species
GACCCUAAUCGUCCUCGUCACGCGUCCGUGCGCCCCCGGUGCGCCGGAGGGAUCUCCAGGACCCCGAACGUGCCGUCCUGGACGGACUCCUCGGGAACCCAAGGUCAGGCGGGACUACCCGCUGAGUUUAAGCAUAU